rnacentral:rRNA from 1 species
CCUACGGGAGGCAGCAGUGAGGAAUAUUGGUCAAUGGACGCAAGUCUGAACCAGCCAUGCCGCGUGCAGGAAGACGGCUCAAUGAGUUGUAAACCGCUUUUGUACGAGGGUAAAUCCCGAUACGUGUAUCGGGUUGAAAGUAUCGUACGAAUAAGGAUCGGCUAACUCCGUGCCAGCAGCCGCGGUAAUACGGAGGAUUCAAGCGUUAUCCGGAUUUAUUGGGUUUAAAGGGUGCGUAGGCGGUUCGAUAAGUUAGCGGUGAAAUCCCGGGGCUCAACUCCGGCACUGCCUCUGAAACUGUCGGGCUAGAGUUUAGUUGAGGUAGGCGGAAUGUAUGGUGUAGCGGUGAAAUGCAUAGAGAUCAUACAGAACACCGAUUGCGAAGGCAGCUUACCAAACUACGACUGACGUUGAGGCACGAAAGCGUGGGGAGCGAACAGGAUUAGAUACCCUUGUAGUC